rnacentral:rRNA from 1 species
UGGGGAAUUUUGGACAAUGGGCGAAAGCCUGAUCCAGCAAUGCCGCGUGUGUGAAGAAGGCCUUCGGGUUGUAAAGCACUUUUGUCCGGAAAGAAAUCCUUGGCUCUAAUACAGUCGGGGGAUGACGGUACCGGAAGAAUAAGCACCGGCUAACUACGUGCCAGCAGCCGCGGUAAUACGUAGGGUGCAAGCGUUAAUCGGAAUUACUGGGCGUAAAGCGUGCGCAGGCGGUUUGCUAAGACCGAUGUGAAAUCCCCGGGCUCAACCUGGGAACUGCAUUGGUGACUGGCAGGCUAGAGUAUGGCAGAGGGGGGUAGAAUUCCACGUGUAGCAGUGAAAUGCGUAGAGAUGUGGAGGAAUACCGAUGGCGAAGGCAGCCCCCUGGGCAAUACUGACGCUCAUGCACGAAAGCGUGGGGAGCAAACAGGAUUAGAUACCCUGGUAGUCCACGCCCUAAAACGAUGUCAACUAGUUGUUGGGGAUUCAUUUCCUUAGUAACGUAGCUAACGCGUGAAGUUGACCGCCUGGGGAGUACGGUCGCAAGAUUAAAACUCAAAUGAAUUGACGGGGUC